UUACUACAUUGAUUCAAAGAAAGAAACUUUGAACGGUUAUAAAUUAUUUAUAGUUUUGAAAUAUAUAUGCUAGCUCAAGUGACCAUCCUCAAUAAGAAGAUAAAGGCGGGGUAUACUUAUAUAAGAAGGCCGAGCCCACCGGCACUUAACACCAUCAACAGCAGCACAAAAACUAUAGCCUGAAAAACAACAGGGAAUAAAACCCUGAGUAUGGAAUUACUCAGCAAGUCUUACCCGACUAAGGAAAAGACUCUCAAGGAUAUGCUGGAUUUGGGAAUCAAGGAGAGGCUUUAGCAAGAAUCAACUUAGAUACUUUUGCAGAAAUAGCUUACUAAAGUGAGUCCUUACUUUCAAUAUUUUAACGCCAGAUUAAAUAUUUAAUAGACUCUGUUUGCAUCUAGUCUAAUUUCAUCAUCUCAUCAAUACAACAUCAUUUUUAUCCAUAGUGUUCACAUCUUGACUUAGGUUGUAGGUCAGAGCUCAAGUCUCCACUCUCCGGGGAUAUAACGGCGAUCCGAAUCGAUUUACUCAGCUGAGGAUCUCUAACCACACGACAUAUGUUUCUCGUAAACCUUGAUGUCUACUAUUCCCACGGAUCCUCCACUGCAUGAACAGGUCCGCGCCACCCGAGAGUACACCACCCCUUUUAGGCGAUCCGUUGCUAGGAGGGUACGUGCCACUCUCGCCAUCUCUCCACGCCCAGUGCGCGAUUGUCUUUUCAUGUAUGGAAUAGCCGGGUUCAAGCUUACCCUGUCCCAUUCUCAGGGCAUGUGGCUAGAUAAGAUAGUCCUUGAUCAACAGGCCUACAUACGCAUCCAAUCCUUAAUUGACCCGGGCGGAGCAUCACCUGUUCCUAGCCCAAGUCUCGAUUUAAGUACUUCCAUCCUUAGGAUUGUUUCUGUUCCUUAGGAUGAAAAGAGCAUCACAGGGAACUUUGCAGUAAGAUCCCACCAUUGCUCCAAAUGAAAAUAUUCUUGCAGGUAGAAGUCAUCCUCUCCCGGGUUAAAUUGAGGACAACCUCUAUCCACAAGAUCUAAGCAAGGCUAAGCAUUUUUGUAAAUCAUAUUUUGAUACUUCACAGAAGUAUCUAUAAAGGUAUGGAUAUCAAGGAAAGCAAUGCAUCAAAGGGUUCCAAGCAACUCCUAUGAACCUAAUGCACAUUUCACUAGACUUAAAGUGUGCGAAAAGUAUUUAAAACACAAGGAAAGGGGUUGCGUGCACCGGGGCUUGCCUGGGUAACACUAGAUUAGUGUUUGUUAGGCGAUGUCCGCUUGACGAGUAUCCCUCGACCGAGUACUUGCUUGAUUUAACCAUCUUCAGGUUGGUCCAUCAGCUUCAUCCUGCGGAUUAGCCCAUGCUUGGGGUCGACUUGGGUCUUCUUCCGCAUCACGCGAUUAAUUAUCGUACCUCAUGAGAUGCACGAUGCAUAUGUAUGAGCACGAGUAUACAUAGUAUGAGAUAGAUAAUCUACGCUAAAAAGGAUGAAACAUUUAAAACCAAGCAUUAAGCAUCAUGGAUAUCAUAGCAGAGCAUCGACUACAUCCAUUAACCAAAUUGACAUAUUACACUAGAUCUAUUUUUAUUCCUAGCUUUUUAUUAACUCUUUAAACUAUGUAUCUUAAUUACUUGAUUUACCGAUUUACCUAAAUCGAUUAUCACAAUAUAGGCAUGCUAAAUUAGUAAAUUACUAACAUUUAUUGUGACCACAAUUCUAUUUAUAGACCUAGUUUAGAUCAUUCAUUAAUCCACUCGCACGAAUAAUAAAUUUGCUUACCCUAUCUAAUUUGACGCGAUAGUCGCAAGCACGACUACGAGUUCUGGCUGACGCCGUUGAUCAUACACGUUCGGCGAGCGAGGCACACAGUUUCCAUUCUUGACCGAAUAUCCGUGGGAUUCUUUUUUUUGUCGAGCUGGUGACGUGUGGCCAAUACUAGAGCGUCUUCACGGCUUGGGGACUUGGCGUAGACGAGGAUGACGAUCGACGACCUCGACGUGUCAGCGCGACGAUUUCCAUAUGGCGAAGAAGACGGAGUAGCCACUCCUGAAUUAGGCUUUAUGGUCGAGCGUCUGACGAGUGUCGCACGAGCCUUGCUGUUCCACCAUUGGAUCUGACUGAAAACUGACCGACUUCCCAUCUCCUCGCCACCCGACGUCAUGACGGAUUCAUAGCGCAGGAUCGCACCCGAUUCUGCAACUCACGCGUCAGCUUGCGCGUGUGCUGUCAACAGGCUUGGGACCUCCGUCGAGCACACGAUGCACGAAGCGCGACAUCAACAAUAAGCGGUUUUUGUGACAUCACGCAGGGAAACUCUGAGCUGUGGCCAGCGCGUAGAAAGCAAAGCGCGGGCAUGGAUUGGGCGCAGGAAGAACAGAGACCGAACUCAGCGAGCUGCGCGCAGACACGCGACGACCAUGGCAAGGGAGCAGAGAAAAUUGUGCGGACGGCUGGAACAGAGACGGCGAGCACGCGCGCACAAAAAGCAGGGCGCGCAGAGGACAGGGAACUGCGACGACGAAACGCCAUAGCUGGAGCAAGAGCGGGACGCGAACUAGGCGACGGCAGCGCGCAAGGACGAUCUUGGCUAGGGGAAAAACUCCGCGCGCAGGGAUCCGAGCUGAAAGGAGCCGAGGAAGAUGGACGCCAUGGGAAGAGGAAGAAGCAGCUGGGCACACUGCGGCUUGGAACCGAUCUUAGAAACGGCGACUGGCACGGACGGGAGGAGUUCGCGGACAAGGAAGUUCCAGCAGGCAGAGAGGCACCGCGGCCACCAUGGGGAACGAGCCAGAGCUGCGCGCGCGCGCAAGAAAAUCGCUCGGCAGAAAGGACGGACAGGGAGCUCCAAGCACCGAACUGCAGCCGGAACCAGAGGCACUGCGAGCAGGUAGACCUGGGAGGGACCUCGCUGGCUGAACGAGCUGGAAGAGAGAAGCAAGGGGAGGGCGCAGGGAAAGAAGAAGCGCUCGGCGCAGGGAGCUGGGCGCCAGAGCAGGAGGCUUCAGGGUGCGGCGCAGGGACACGCGCGGUCAAGCGAACUUGAGUUGGAGCCAGGGAGCAGGAAAUCAGGGCGACGGCGCGUGCACAGAGAAGCGACCGCGCCAUGGGCGUUCGCGGGCGGACGAACUAAGAAGCUUGAGGGAGCUAGGCGAGCUGCACGGGAGGAGCACGCAGGGAGGUACGCCGGCGAGGGAGCAGGAGAGAGAAGGGAGUGGCUGCGCGCGGCGAGGAAGCUCUAGAGAACUGCCAUGGGAGCUCAGCAGAGAGGAAACACAGGGGAUGGGAGAUGCGCUGGCAUGGGAGGAAACUGGGGGUCGCGGCAUGGGUGAUCUGGAACAAGCGAGCAGAGGGGCGUGGUCCGAGCGCCGGGCGCCGGGCGGAGUCGAGGGCGUGACCCAGGGCGAGCGCCGGCUGGAAGAAGAGCAGCGCGCACUGGAAAUAACGACGGCCGGGCGGUGGGAUUUUUCUUCACACGUUGAGCGGCACGGCCAGGAAGAUCAGCGAUCGGCGGUGGGAGAUAAGCUCCAUGGCUGAAUCCAGAGCACGCUGGAGAUUCACGGCUGAAGAUUGAAGCCUACGGGAGAGAGACGCGUGGCUGGCGAUGGGGAUAGAGAUCGAGCAGAGAAGAUGCCGACCACCCAAGCCGGCGUUAAUAAAUUGCCCAUUGCAGAUAAGAACAUGGAGAGAGACUGAGAGAGAGGAUAAGGAGAGGGAGGAGAGAUGUACGUAGGAGAUAUUUGCACAAGAGCUGGACGUUUAAGCGGUGGAAUGAAAUCAGCUAGGAAAAAUUGGAAUUUCCUUUCAUCUACUUAAAAAUAAUCAAAAUGUAGAUAUUUGGUUGGCUCAAACAUUAAGGUCUAAAAGAUGUAUAAAUGAGUUGAGCCAAAACAAGAUCCACAAAAAUAUUUAGACAGGAUUUAAUGAAUACUUCGGAGUCAGAUUAAUUCGUAUCCAUUAUUUCUAUUUGAAGAAAAUUAGAUCGAGACAAGAAACGCACGGACCGGAUCAAAUUGAUUUCGGCUUCGACAAAUUUAGACUGUGCUUGAUUUAAUUUAGGACAGAUAAUUUACUAGACGAAUAAAUUUCAAUUAUAAAUCCUCGGAUGAGCUGUCUCGGUUGACGAGUGGGAACAAAAUUAUUUGCACCGAAAACCUUAGUCGUCGAGUUUGAAUUAAUUUGCCCGGGAUAAAAAUCAUCCGAGUGAGUCGAGCUUCCGAAUUCGUGUUCGCGAGCGAUGAAUUUUAAAUAAUCACCGGACGCACCGAUUUUCAGAACAAAUAUGUUCCGAACAGCAAGAAAAUUCAGGAAGAGCCCGGACAAAUAAAAAUAAUAACGAUGUCGCACUCGCGACAAACGAAGCAGAUGCGAUAUUAAAAUCGUGAUAGGCAAAAAUAAUUAGACCUUAGUGUCCAUCUUAUUUACUGAUAUCACGUGCUUAAAUCCGUACUCGCUGUCGAGCGGACGAUAAACACCAGGGUGUUACAGUCCUCCCCCCUUAAAAGAAUCUCGUCCCGAGAUUCGGAGCGAAAGACUUCUAAGGGUAGAGAAGUAUGUAACCCUUGUUCAUAUCAGCGAUAAUUAUAAGGCAGUUCCAAGCAAGGACGAGUGUCUCAGAAUGUUGUUUCUCUAAUGGACAUAUCAUGUAUCGCCUUAAGCCAAUUUAGAAAUGUCCACCAAUGGAGACGCUGUCUGCCAGAAGAACACAUAAGGUUCCAUGUGUGCAGUUUGCUUUUUUUUUAUGACACUGUACUAUCUGAGUCUGUUGAGCGAGCGGCAAAUACACGAUUUUACCCAAACAGAAUCAGAUACACCAUCUUGGGUAAAACACACAGAAAGAGGUUUACCAACAAGUGGUUACAGUAAACUCAUAGCACACGUGACGGCUGUGAAUGUCGAAUAACAUCACAGUUAACUCGUGUUAGCCAAAGAAUCCAAGUCCCUGAAAGGUGAUAUAGAUUCGAGAACAUCACCAGCAAAGGGGUCUGUAGAUACGGACUUUACAACUAGUCCAUUUUAUCAAGCACUAGGCAUGACUCGACCUGGUCAUACAUGCUAGAAAAGCACACGUGAGGCGAUCGAGACACGACUAGAGCGAUGGCUAGGUGGUUAUUGGUCGCCUUAAUCUUGAUUUUUAUAAGUACUUCCUCAGUAUGGGUUGAACCAAAAUGAGUUCAGGCAAAUCGAUAAAACGAUCUCUAAACUCAAUCUUUGUUCAUUGAGCAGUUACAAGUUAGUAAAACCAACUUGUUGAACUACUUUUGACAUUGAGCAAGUCCUCUCAGUACCAUCGGUAAGCCAACGGUCGAGAGCUCACUCAUACUAACAGUUGAUCAUGCACUUGGGCAGAAAUCUAUUUGGUCAUGUUGUUCAUCCGUUUCUUCAUGUGAGAUGAAUUAUCCGCUUGGUUAGGGAAUACUUGGAUUAAAUAAGAGAGCGAAUGAACAAACUCCUGCAUCACAACAGCAGGGAAAAUCAAUCUUCAUUUUGAGAGCUAAUCAGUUGUCUCUCGACAUUAAAAAGCUCCAAGGCUCCACCUUUACACAAAGGAUGUAAAGGGAACUUGUAUGAGUAGUCACUACCAAGAUCAAAAGAAAUAAGACCACACAUGAAAGUGGUAUGCCCUUUUGAUCCAACAGAGAUGACAGAUGUUGCUUGAUCUCUUCACAAACAACAUAGAAAUUGUUUCAAGGAAGAAGCCUACGGAAGAUAACAUAUUGAUAUAAUCUCAUAAUGGAUUACGACUAUUAACUGUGAUACCAACGCGUGCCGAGUAGCACAACCAUGUGUGAGCACCCACCGAAGGCCCUCGGUUUCAGCGUGGUAUCACCGAUUUUAGUCAUAACACCAUUACCAGACAUAACCAAUAAGAAAUCUCACGUGACACCAAUAGAUUGGUCAAGGAUGACAAGGUACAAAAGAGACUCCACCUGUAGAAUGAUUACAAGUAGAGAUCCAAAUAGAUCAUGGCCCAAGGAAGUGAACAAGGCAUGGCCAUAACCUAAACUUGAUGAGAGAAGUACGAUGGGAGAUUGUUAAUUCAGCCCCAAGCAUAUUUCUAUGCCCAUCGCAGAGAUCACAAGGUCAAGGAUCAGUAUCUGACUAGAUACAGGGGAAAACAAUCAUAAGAUUAAGUUGGUAUGCCUUCGAUAGAUAUGGGAAACCAAAGGCAUCAAAUUCUAGAAAAAUGGUUGGACAUGUCUUUCCUAGGUUGGGUUGACAAAGCAACAUGGCGAUCCGCAAGGAGAGGCCAAAUAUAAUGGAGACCUCAACCUGCAUCAACUGAACAAGGGAAUGGUUCUAGAAGGAGACAUGACUUGAGAUUUUUUUUAAGCUUGGGUACACUUUAUGUCCAACAAAGAAAUUAUCAAGCAUUUAUUUGUAUGGGCUUGGUCACAGAGUGAUAAUGGUAAAUUCAAAUUUGGGUCUCGGUUCACCAACUAAGAACAUGGCCUAAUUUUGGGUUUAAGCAACCAAACUACUAACCCUCUAUCGGCACAUCAACAAAAGAGCACACAUAGAGCACUCUAAGAGGUCACCUAAAGAAUGGAGGACACCUAUUUCAUCGAAGUUCAUAAUUUAGCAUUACACCAUAUUAUCUACAAUCAAUGGUUACUGGAAUAAAGACGAGAGAAGCAUUUUGGGUGUAUAGGUGACAAACAUAAUGCAACAAUCAAGAUGCAUGCUCGUCUUAUCCGUCCUCACUGAGUUUUUGCCAACAUAAUGUGGCAAUAGCGUUCUAUAUCGGUGGCAUAUGUACGAUUCUCACGGUAUUUUGCUAGUCGUCAACUACACAUACGUUUUCGAGGUUAGUGUACCUGCAGAAAAAUCCAUCACAACCCAAUUCCCAAUGAUGCAGUUCACACAUGACAGUUUAUCAUAGUUUAUACUCCAUAUAUUGCUAUAUGGAGGCCAGCUCAUCAUUAAGCGCCGAGCCACGCAUAGGCGCCAUUGCCACACUUUAACCAUAGGGCAACCCAUUAUGGUAACUCACCUUCUUACCUGAACGUAGGUGCGUCGUUACAAGUACAUUACACUUCUCAGUAUUCCCAUGUCUGUAUACCCAUACACAUCCAUGGGGUACCGAAUUCCCAGAAAAGUAAUUACUCCACCUCGCAACCUUCAUAUAUACAUAUAUAAAACAUGUAUAUAAUCAAGCGCUACAAUUAAGCACUUCCCUAGACCGACGUUUGUUCGGUCUUGCUCUCACAUCUCACCUUACCUUGGGCGUCGAUCCAUUCAAAACUGAAUGGCCUUAAAAAUAACAAUACACAUGUAUGCAAUACCCACCCGGUUGUGGGUUAGUGGUUUUCAAAUAAGCCACCUGAUAGUCCUUAGUUUUAGGGCUUAAAAGAGGAUGUCGCUAGCAUUAUAGUUUUUUUUAAAACUGUUUUUCAAAGCCAAACAAUGUGUUUAACUAAAAAUAGGUUUUUCGAAACCAAAACUUUUGUUUUGAAAAUACGUAUGUGACCGUAUAUACUUAAUCCAGCUCCGAUACCAGCUGUGGCAGAACCUCCCAAGUUAUUGGGCCCACAUGCACCUGUCCUUGUCUCAAAGACCUCAGACAGCUAUGCAUGUGCACCAGAUAACUUAACAGGAUCCGUCCGAUUGCCCCACGGACACCGGAUAAACCACUUACAACCAGAACCGCGGGAUUAAGUAAUACAAAUCACACACAUCAAUAUUUUGCAGCGGAAAUCUUAUUACCAAAUUUUACAAGUUACAAAAAUUUUACUUCGUACAUGAUCAGAGUGAUUACUACAUUGAUUCAAAGAAAGAAACUUUGAACGGUUAUAAAUUAUUUAUAGUUUUGAAAUAUAUAUGCUAGCUCAAGUGACCAUCCUCAAUAAGAAGAUAAAGGCGGGGUAUACUUAUAUAAGAAGGCCGAGCCCACCGGCACUUAACACCAUCAACAGCAGCACAAAAACUAUAACCUAAAAAACAACAGGGAAUAAAACCCUGAGUAUGGAAUUACUCAGCAAGUCUUACCCGACUAAGGAAAAGACUCUCAAGGAUAUGCUGGAUUUGGGAAUCAAGGAGAGGCUUUAGCAAGAAUCAACUUAGAUACUUUUGCAGAAAUAGCUUACUAAAGUGAGUCCUUACUUUCAAUAUUUUAACGCCAGAUUAAAUAUUUAAUAGACUCUGUUUGCAUCUAGUCUAAUUUCAUCAUCUCAUCAAUACAACAUCAUUUUUAUCCAUAGUGUUCACAUCUUGACUUAGGUUGUAGGUCAGAGCUCAAGUCUCCACUCUCCGGGGAUAUAACGGCGAUCCGAAUCGAUUUACUCAGCUGAGGAUCUCUAACCACACGACAUAUGUUUCUCGUAAACCUUGAUGUCUACUAUUCCCACGGAUCCUCCACUGCAUGAACAGGUCCGCGCCACCCGAGAGUACACCACCCCUUUUAGGCGAUCCGUUGCCAGGAGGGUACGUGCCACUCUCGCCAUCUCUCCACGCCCAGUGCGCGAUUGUCUUUUCAUGUAUGGAAUAGCCGGGUUCAAGCUUACCAUGUCCCAUUCUCAGGGCAUGUGGCUAGAUAAGAUAGUCCUUGAUCAACAGGCCUACAUACGCAUCCAAUCCUUAAUUGUCCCGGGCGGAGCAUCACCUGUUCCUAGCCCAAGUCUCGAUUUAAGUACUUCCAUCCUUAGGAUUGUUUCUGUUCCUUAGGAUGAAAAGAGCAUCACAGGGAACUUUGCAGUAAGAUCCCACCAUUGCUCCAAAUGAAAAUAUUCUUGCAGGUAGAAGUCAUCCUCUCCCGGGUUAAAUUGAGGACAACCUCUAUCCACAAGAUCUAAGCAAGGCUAAGCAUUUUUGUAAAUCAUAUUUUGAUACUUCACAGAAGUAUCUAUAAAGGUAUGGAUAUCAAGGAAAGCAAUGCAUCAAAGGGUUCCAAGCAACUCCUAUGAACCUAAUGCACAUUUCACUAGACUUAAAGUGUGCGAAAAGUAUUUAAAACACAAGGAAAGAGGUUGCGUGCACCGGGGCUUGCCUGGGUAACACUAGAUUAGUGUUUGUUAGGCGAUGUCCGCUUGACGAGUAUCCCUCGACCGAGUACUUGCUUGAUUUAACCAUCUUCAGGUUGGUCCAUCAGCUUCAUCCUGCGGAUUAGCCCAUGCUUGGGGUCGACUUGGGUCUUCUUCCGCAUCACGCGAUUAAUUAUCGUACCUCAUGAGAUGCACGAUGCAUAUGUAUGAGCACGAGUAUACAUAGUAUGAGAUAGAUAAUCUACGCUAAAAAGGAUGAAAUAUUUAAAACCAAGCAUUAAGCAUCAUGGAUAUCAUAGCAGAGCAUCGACUACAUCCAUUAACCAAAUUGACAUAUUACACUAGAUCUAUUUUUAUUCCUAGCUUUUUAUUAACUCUUUAAACUAUGUAUCUUAAUUACUUGAUUUACCGAUUUACCUAAAUCGAUUAUCACAAUAUAGGCAUGCUAAAUUAGUAAAUUACUAACAUUUAUUGUGACCACAAUUCUAUUUAUAGACCUAGUUUAGAUCAUUCAUUAAUCCACUCGCACGAA
rnacentral:lncRNA from 1 species